rnacentral:rRNA from 1 species
GACGAACGCUGGCGGCGUGCUUAACACAUGCAAGUCGAACGGGCCCGCCCCUGUUUUUGGGGGUGGGUUGAGUGGCGAACGGGUGAGUAUCACGUGAGUAACCUGCCCCCUGCUCCUGGAUAACUGCUUGAAAGGGCGGCUAAUACGGGGUGUGCCGGCUGGUCCGCAUGGGCCUGGUCGGGAUAGUUUCAUCUUCGGGGGUUUCGGUGGGGGAUGGGCUCGCGGCCUAUCAGCUUGUUGGUGGGGUGAUGGCCCACCAAGGCGGUGACGGGUAGCCGGCCUGAGAGGGUGGGCGGCCACACUGGGACUGAGACACGGCCCAGACUCCUGCGGGAGGCAGCAGUGGGGGGGAUUGCACAAUGGGCGGAAGCCUGAUGCAGCGACGUCGCGUGAGGGAUGGAGGCCUUCGGGUUGUGAACCUCUUUCUCCGGUGGUGAAGGCCCUGUCCGUUGCGGCGGGGUUGACGGUAGCCGGGUAUGAAGCGCCGGCUAACUACGUG